AUGGCUGGAAUCACCACCAUCCAGGCGGUGAAGCACAAGAUCCAGGUCCUGCAGCAGCCGGCUGACGAUGCCGAGGAAAGAGCCGAGCGGCAGCAGCGGGAAGUGGAAGAAGAAAGGCGGGCCGAGAAUAGGCUGAGGCUGAGGUGGUCGCCUUGAACCGUAGGAUCCAGCUGGUCGAAGAGGAGCUGGACCGUGCUCAGGAGCGCCUGGACGCUGCCCUGCAAAAGCUGGAAGAAGCAGAAAAAGCUGCUGAUGAGAGCAAGAGAGGUAUGAAGGUUAUUGAAAACCGGGCCUUAAAAGGUGAAGAAAAGAUGGAACGCCAGGAAAUCCAACUCAAAGAAGCUAAGCACAUCGCAGAAGAGGCAGAUAGGAGAUAUGAAGAGUGGCUCGUAAGUUGGUGAUUAUUGAAGGAGACCUGGAAUGCACAGAGGAGCGAGCUGAGCUGGCAGAAUCCCGUUGACGAGAGAUGGAUGGGUAGAUCAGACUGAUGGACCAGAACCUGAAGUGUCUGAGUGCUGCUGAAGAAAAGUACUCUCAAAAAGAAGACAAAUAUGAGGAAGAGAUCAAGAUUCUUACUGAUAAACUAAAGAAGGCGGAGACCCGUGCUGAGUUUGCGGAGAGAUCAGUAGCCAAGCUGGAAAAGACAGUUGAUGAUUUGGAAGAUAAACUGAAAUGCACCAAAGAGGAGCACCUCUGUACACAAAGGAUGCUGGACCAGACUCUGCUGGACCUGAAUGAGAUGUAGAGCACCCCAGGCCCACCCUGCCGCUGAUCCUCCCUCUGACCCCGACUCCGCCUGAGGCCAGCCUGCCUGAAGAUGACCUCUAACCUGAGGGCUGAUCUUUAACUGGAAGGCUGCUUUCUCCUUUCGCCAUUCCCUCCACGCUCCUGUGUCUUUUUCGCCAAACCGUCUCUGCCCCUUCCCAGAGAUUCCAGCUGGGCUAGAGGCUGAGCACAUUUGGGAACAGCAUUUAAGGGAAUGUGCGCACAAUGCAAAAUGUCUUUAAAAACAUGUUGUGAUAUACACAUUUUGUAAUUAACCUUUUUGGUCUUUUGAAGCAACCGUUGGUAAAAAUAUUCCAAAUAAUUCCACAGCUCUGAAGCAGCAAACUAAUCCCUUUUUCUCUUUUGGAAGGUGACUUUUUUGUUUAAUACAUAUUACCCUCUCCAUGGAGAAGGGAAAAAAGUGUGGGCCUGCCUUACUGAGAACCAAACAGAGCCCUGGAAAGGUCUCCACUAUGGGAAACCUCAUUGCUCUGUACAAAGUACUAGCCAAACCAGAAAGGUGAUUCCAGGAGGAGUUAGCCAAAACAACGACAAAAAUGUGCUGUUCAGGUUUUCAGCUUUAAGGUGUCUUUGGACAACUUUUUUUUAUUUUUUAUUUUUUUCAUUAGAAGUGACCAAAUUAAGAUGGUGAGACCUCUGAGACCAAA